UGAACAAUUCAACUGGUUUAUUUAUUUAUUUUCAAAAUACAAUGACUAUGGGAGCAUACAGAAUGUUCUUGCUGUAGGUCAGACCUCCUACAUGGAAUCUCACCGGGUUGUUGGCCUUGGAACAGUGACCCAGUGCCUCACUGUCUGUGUCUUCGUGUACUUUAGGACACCGUGGCACACGGGUGGGUCCCAAAACCAAAAAAAAUACUAAGAAAAAGCAGCUGCCAUCACUGAUGGGGCUCCCUGGCUAACGAGAGGGCCGGAUUCCAGCUGGAUUCCACUGCCAGGUGCGAUGUCCUUUUGCAGAACACACGCCCACGCGCCGCACCGUCCCUGCUCGCGGCGGGAGGUUCUGGUGGGAGUGCGGCCGUUAGUGACGUAAAUGAGGGCAGCGCGUGGCGGGCGGGCCGUGCGCAGGUGCUCGCAGCAGGUGCGGGCGGACAGCGAUGCACCGUCACCUCUGCCACCGGGCUUGGGGCCGUGCCGACGGGAGGGCUUCCUCUGCUGCAGGCGUCGCCAGGCUCUGGCUCUAAAUAAGCGACUGCCUCCUCUUCGCAAGCGCAGUUUGCGCGGUUUUGGUCUCCUUGGGAAGUGACGUAAGAAGACGGUGGAACUGCUAACCCAGUGUGAGGACUAGACCGACCAGAUACAACUUUUGAAUAGACAGUAUGACUUACGUGCAGUACUGCUGUGGGAUGCCACAGUGAGAUCCGUAACGGGACAGAAAUCUGUUCUCAAGAUCAAUUAUGGUUUCACCUACUUUUUCAUCACGAGUCAAUGUGUCAUAGUCAUAAACAGAAAUUUUCAAGUCUUUUUCUUGAGUACAGCAGGGUUACAUCACAGACAUUCCAAAGCCAGCAAGUCUCACCAGUCCAUUAUUAUCCUGGGGUUGAAGCUGCAAAGCUC